GUUGAAAGCUUAACUCUGCAGGGUUCCGAUCCUACGGGAACUGAAUUUGACACCCCUACCUUAUGAGGAAGGUGAAAGAGGAAAGGUUAGGAGCUUGAGAUGUGAACGAUCGAGCAGGGUGAGACACGGCCAAUCAACCCAGCAUGUGCACAAACACAGCAUCCUAAAUAAGAACAGAAUCUCCACUCCAAUGCAAGCAUGCAGGGAUGCAGAGAAAGGUAUAACAAGCUGCAUAUGACACAAUCUUGAUCGCUUCACAACUAAUGGCACAUUUGAGUUGUGUAACAGCCGUUCACAUCUGGUCAUGGCAUCAAUCCCAGUGUGUGCUUUUGGGAACGACGGGUCAUGAAACACGGUUUAUAUCAGCAGGGAUGUCGGCUCACACAGCAGUCAUGAUAACAUUUACCUGGGAAGCAUUAAACUUUAUGUGUUUGUUUCUAAGACUGAAUCGUGGGUACACACUGAAGAAUUUUAAGCAUGUAUUAGAGUCCGCUUGUAAACAAAUGUUGUUCCUGUUCUUUCUCCCUUUGCUGUUUUCAAAGGUUUAGUGCAUUUACUGAUGCACAGUGGCUGUAAUGACAUGAUUUACAGAGUAGGCCUACGGCACUACCACACACCAUCACUGACUUCAUUCCCACUGUUCACUGCUGCUUUGUGUUCUAGGACAGAAGAAAAUCUUUGGACAGCAAUGUUUCAAUGUUUCAGUUUUCUGAAAAGGUAUUUUUAAUAUGCAAAUAGAGCAUUAUCUAACUGAAUAUGCACUAAACUGCUUUCAUUUCUAGAACAGAAAUCUGAAUAUUGCAGCCAUGUUCAAAAUGUAUUU